rnacentral:rRNA from 1 species
UACGUAGGGUGCGAGCGUUAAUCGGAAUUACUGGGCGUAAAGCGUGCGCAGGCGGCUCUUCAAGUCAGAUGUGAAAGCCCCGGGCUUAACCUGGGAAUGGCGUUUGAAACUGGAGGGCUGGAGUGUGGCAGAGGGAGGUGGAAUUCCACGUGUAGCAGUGAAAUGCGUAGAGAUGUGGAGGAACACCGAUGGCGAAGGCAGCCUCCUGGGCCAACACUGACGCUCAUGCACGACAGCGUGGGGAGCAAACACG